GAGCGCUCCCGUUCCCGCUCCGCUCCCGUUCCCGCUCCGCUCCCGCCAUGGCAGCACCGCCCGCAGGGUUUGCCAGGUAAAGAUCCCUGCUGUUCUCCUCCAGACUAUCUGCUCAAGCUGCCUCUGUCCACAUGUCCUUCAGGACCCUGGGCCUGGCUAAAUUCGACCUGUGAAGCCUGUCAGCAGAACGUGGAGCGUGGGGGCUGAUGCAGAGGAGGCUGCAUGGCAGUGACCUGGGACCUCUAAAGAAUUUCUCCACUGUGUCAGUGAAAUCACACCUGUGUGACACCUGUGCCUCCGUUGUGCGUGGUGGUGCUCAGUUGCUGGCUGAGCUGAGCCACGACAAAGUGUUAUCUGGUCUUUUCUGCCACAGGGAGAGGCAGAGUGUAAGGAUCAGGUUUUGUAACAUUGCUGCAUGUGUUUCAUUAAGUUUGGGAUUUU